rnacentral:rRNA from 1 species
GAUGAACGCUGGCGGCGUGCCUAAUACAUGCAAGUCGAGCGAACAGACGAGGAGCUUGCUCCCCUGACGUUAGCGGCGGACGGGUGAGUAACACGUGGAUAACCUACCUAUAAGACUGGGAUAACUUCGGGAAACCGGAGCUAAUACCGGAUAAUAUAUUGAACCGCAUGGUUCAAUAGUGAAAGACGGUUUUGCUGUCACUUAUAGAUGGAUCCGCGCCGCAUUAGCUAGUUGGUAAGGUAACGGCUUACCAAGGCAACGAUGCGUAGCCGACCUGAGAGGGUGAUCGGCCACACUGGAACUGAGACACGGUCCAGACUCCUACGGGAGGCAGCAGUAGGGAAUCUUCCGCAAUGGGCGAAAGCCGGACGGAGCAACGCCGCGUGAGUGAUGAAGGUCUUCGGAUCGUAAAACUCUGUUAUUAGGGAAGAACAAAUGUGUAAGUAACUAUGCACGUCUUGACGGUACCUAAUCAGAAAGCCACGGCUAACUACGUG